UAAUAAAUACAACAUAAAAUUGCAUCUUUUUCAUUUUUAAAAUUACUUUCAGAAAAUUAUUAUGGAAAACGUUUUUCUUGUUUCCCUGAUUUUGGAUAAAACAAAACCAUUCCGUUUCCUGCGUUUUACUUUUAUAUCAAAAAGCAGCAUUUUCAUCUGUCUUCUUCCUUAGCUCAGCAAAAGCUGAGUGAAAUUGUGUGUGUGCACGCACGCGCAUGUAUGGAUGAUUUUGCAAAUAUAUUUGUUUUUCCCUUUGAAAUGUGAAUUAACUUGAUUGAUAAAUAAUGUCGUUGCCAACUUAGAGUAUUGCAGGUCAUAGAACAAAGAUCAUAGAACAAGAUUGACCUACAUUAUAGACUGAUAGAGGUAGACAUGCUUUGCUGAAAUAAACACAUUUGUUGAUCUACUACACCUGAAUUCUUAAGGAAGAAGCUUGCCUGCCCCAAUGUGCAACAGUGAUAAUUUAGAUUAUGUUAAAAUCCAUGCUUCUCGGCUGUUCUCAAAUAUUGGAUAAUUAAUAAGAAAAAUGUUAUUUUAUAUUUGAAAGUAUAUGUGUAACACCAAUAUACAGUUAGUGGAUUUGUCUCCAUUGUGGAAUGCUUAUGCUUCAGUUGAUAUUCACAGUAUCUUCUAUGUCUCUUUAUAUGUUUUCAACAUUUUAGAAGAAAAUAGCCUUCUAUGAUGUUGAUGAUGGUGAAGAAAAAGCUGAAUGGACCUCAAGGAACGAGGGCAUCUUUAUCCGUAUAUAGCAUGAACAUACCAAAAUGGGUGAACUACAAACAUUGACAUUUUCUAGAAAGACAUGGAAUAUGAUAUGUGGUGAAUCAUUUGCUGAAUCCAAUAGGCGAUAUACUGUCCUACAACUUAAGUCAAAGUUCAAUCGCCUGUGGAAGAAACAUCGUGAAUUUACUGGCUUAAUUAAUCAUACUGGUUUCAAACGGGAUCCAAAUUCAAACAAUGCCUGCAACAACUGAUGCUUGGGAAGAGUAUAUUAAUUCUGAUGUGCAUGUUAAUCUCUGUGAGGAUGAUGGUGAAACAGAUCCACAGGUUGGUGACAGCAAGGGGAAAAGGGCUCAUCGUUUCUUUGACCAACCGCGCCGUCUGAUCAGUCAAUGGAAAACUACUUGGAUAUGUGUACUGAAGUUAUGAGAAGCAAGUUAGAGACACGCAAGGCCAAAGCUCAAGAGUCAGAUCAGUUUUCAACUGAGUAGUGUCUGCAGAUUGUUGAGGCCAUGGGGGUUGACAAUGAUACAUUCAUAAAGUUUGUGGAGAAAAAGGUUGAUAUUGCUCAUCUCGGUUAGAACGUACAAACUUAGUCUAUUUAUAUUUCAAGUUUUUAAAACACCUUGUAUUUUAUUUCAUCUAAUUUUUUUUUAACUGGA